rnacentral:lncRNA from 1 species
CACCAUAGUAUUUUUUGCCAGAUACUUUGUAACGUCCCAAUAGUCCUACAUUAGAUGAAAAAAUAAUUAUGAAUAUACGAGACUUCACACGCUAGUAAUAAUAAAUUUUUUUUUGAAAGAAGGGUAGCAUGUUACCUAAUAAUAAUAAUUGAGUUUAAACAUUUUGGACCAAUGGUUUGGAUCCAAUAAGUUAUUACUAUUAGCAGGUUGGGCCGUUACAAUUGGCAUUAGAGCCGAAUUUUACCCGAAAAUAUGAGAGCUAAGUGCUAUAUCAAUAAAUUUGAUGGGAGCCACCUCUUGAAUCCGUAAGUGUCAUCUCUAAAAUCUCACAUUGCAUGAUAAUUCUGAUCUAUAUAUGUGAUAUGGGUUAAAAUAAUUAUAAUCGGAUUAUAAGAGGCCUCGCACCCUACUAAUAAUAAUUGAAUUUAAACAUUUUGGACCGGUGGUUUAUGUCCAACAAAUUAUUAUUAUUAGCCGGUCGAAUCGUUAUAUACUUUCAUCAUUUUUGCUUUAAAAUUCACAUAGAAAUUAUGCGACGGUAUAUAUUCUAGUUGUCCCGCGAGACAUGCAUGUCCCAUCAAAAUUUUUCUUCCUGCUAAAAAACAAAAAGGGAUAAUUGCCUAUAAACCACUCAAAACUUCAAAAAUAUCCCAUUUAUUUAUUUUUUUUCUUUCCAAUAUACCCCUCAUAUGUUUCUCCGUUAUUCUAAAAUAUCCCUGCAAUUACCACCCGUUAAGUAACUUAGAUUAAACGUAAGUUAAAUAUCUAUGAAUACUUCUUUUGCCUUUAACUUAAGGGCAAAUAAGAAAUGUUAGUAUAGUAGAAGGGUAUAUUUGAAAAGAUAAAAUAUAAAAAUAUUUUUUGUCCCCCUAACUUAACAAAAGUCGGUGAUGGUAGAAGGGUAUAUUUGAAAAUGGUAAAAUAGUAAUUUCAUACAGAUAACAUCUAUUGCUAACUAUUCAUUAAUAAAAUUUAAUUUUACGGAUAUAUUUGAAAUAGAUUGAAACGUAAAGAAGGUAUUUUCAAUAUUAGUCUUCUAAAAAAAAUAAAUAAAAAAUUGAGAAUUUUUCAUAGGUAUAUAAACAAUUGCCCUUAAAAAAAA